rnacentral:rRNA from 1 species
UACGGAGGGGGCUAGCGUUGUUCGGAAUUACUGGGCGUAAAGCGCACGUAGGCGGCUUUGUAAGUUAGAGGUGAAAGCCCGGAGCUCAACUCCGGAACUGCCUUUAAGACUGCAUCGCUUGAAUCAUGGAGAGGUUAGUGGAAUUCCGAGUGUAGAGGUGAAAUUCGUAGAUAUUCGGAAGAACACCAGUGGCGAAGGCGACUAACUGGACAUGUAUUGACGCUGAGGUGCGAAAGCGUGGGGAGCAAACAGG